rnacentral:lncRNA from 1 species
CAUUUUCUGAUAGUCAGAUAUAUUUAUUAUGCAAUUCCUUUUGCACUCUAAUUUAUAUUGAGGUAAGAUUUUAAAGAUUUUAUUGAAGUCAAAAUAUAUUUAAAGCCAUAUUGAAUUUGGGAUUAAAAGUCCUGUCAAUAUUUUUAUUUCACUAUGUUAUAUAUGCUAGUGCACAGUAAAUUAAAGAAACUGAAAUUGAUUCAAUGAAUUAAAUAAGCAUAUUAGUUUUUGUUGUCUAGUUCUUAUCUCUGAUACAAUAGCAGUAAGUCCCCCCUUUUGUUGGAAACAUUUGGUUGAUUAUAUAGGGAAUCGCUGAAGCAUGAUUGGAGAGGGCAUCCCUUAGGUCAGUCAGUGGGCCCCCUAACAAAAAGUUCUGAAUCUGCCAGUGCCUCUAUUAAAUAAAAAUUAACUGUCUUAGCAGGUAACAUCUUCUUAUCCUGCUAGAUAUAACCUUAUGUAAAAUGAAAUAUAAUACAAGGUCACCUCUCACAAGAGGUUAGUUUUCUCAGGACCUGGUGGUGAACUUUAUAUAAUGGUCUGACGGUAUGCUUAACUACCAUAACAUAUGGUCUGCUGUAUAAGAACCUCAAAAGGAUUACAGGUAUAGAAAAUUUUAAUUAUGUAUCAUAUUAUCAAAUUUCUCACUUCUAGCAAUUCAGUGUUGAAAGUGCUACACAUGCAUUUAUUUUUCACAAAUUUUUCAUAGUUCAGUGUCACGCUCUCUUCACGUUGAACCCUUGCAACUUAAUUGUUGGAGGGGUCUGUUGGUGGCCUGUUGCAAGGCCCAAUUUCUGACCCUUUCAAAUAGACUGUUGGUCUAAAUUUUACCUGACCUUAAUCUUUUAUUGUCAAUUUGUGUUCUCGUCCUGAACAUGCUUGAAAUAUUUGCCACUGGACAUUUAUCAAGCAGCAUUCAAUCAAUCAAUCAUUGGUUAAUUUUAUAUAAAUUUUGCUGAUGAAAACAAUAAAGAAGCACUGAACUGUUAUUGAUCUUGUGUUAACAUUAAAAUAAAUUUUCUUAUAAAACUAUUUCUUAAACCUGCCUCAUUAACCCUGGACAUUUUUAUUACUUGUCUUUUCAGAUUAAAACAACUUUGAUGAAUACAGACAUUAAAAGAAAAUUGAUGGAUCAUUUGGGAGUUUAAGAAGAAUUACCAGCUUUAUUGAUUGGAUUAUAUAGUUUAAUAGGUAUCUAUAAAAUUUACAGUUUGGAAUAAAAGCUAAUUUACCAGCUUGAAAAUAUACAUGACUAAUUUUAUCAUGGGAAAAUUUAAUUGAUUGAAUUUCUAGCUAUUUCAUUGAUCUUAACUUUUACUAUGCAGAUCAAUUAAGCUUAUAUAUUGCUUAAAGUACAAAUAUAUUAAAUUAUUUAUUAGCUAUUACAAAACACGAACAUUUUACUGAAAAUAAGUAAAAAGUCUUAAUAAUUAUAUAAUCAAUGGCAAACACAUGACAAAAAUAUGCAAAAAAACAUAAAAACAUCAAAAAUAAAUGUUGUAUUACUGGCUAUGUAGUAUGUACAUUUGUAUCUGUUAUGAGAUUUUUGAGAUACCAUAAAGGGUUUACUAAAAUGUUUUAUCAUAAAUAUGCUUGAAAUAUUUUCCACUGGACAUUAAACACAAAACAGUCAAUGAUCAUAUAUCUUUUCAUAUGACACUAGAAUUAUUACUCAGUGAUAGGCAGAUUAACCCAUUUAUUCAUAAAAUUUAUAAUGGAAACAACCCGACCAAAGAGCAGAAAACAGUCUGAAGGUCACCAAUGAAUCCUCAACACAGGAAGAAAAUCCAGCAUGCAAAUAUUUCAUUACAUAUCCUAAUAAAUAAAAAUGCAUCUUGAAAUUUAUGAUAUAUUGAAUCGUAAUUGAACAAUAAUAUUAAUGUGAAAUUUUAUUAAGUUAUUUGUUCGUCAUGAAAGCUAGACUGUACAUCAGACCAUUUUCCAAUUGACAAUCAUUAGAAGAAUUAAUAGAACUUAAUUGAAUAUAUUGUGAUUGAAGUAAUAGAAUUGUUUGAUGGUUUUCAGUGCUGUAGGUUAGCAUGGGGUCACAUUUAUAUAUAUUCAGAAAUCAAUAAAACUGGACAUACACUUUUAUAUAAUAGGGAUAUCGGUCAUAAAAUUCUUAAUGUUUAUUCUGUGUUAUCUUAUUUUACUUAUUAGCACAGAUUUAAUGUGUUGAAGACAAUGGUAUCAUAUGACUGGAUGUUUUGAUUAUAACAGUUUAAGUCGUGUGUAAAAACUCGUUUGACAGUUUUCAAGGUAUGUGUUUUUAUUCCACACAAUUUCAGUUAAAUCCAUUAAAUUUCAUGAUGUUUCAGGAUAUUUUCAAUCUAGACAUUUUGUUGAGGCAAACUUUUUGGCGCCUUGAAUAUGAAAAUUUAUAAAGUGUAGUAUAUAUACCAUAUGACAUCCUGAAGAUAGCGUUUUGCACCAAUCUGCAUUUCAUUUGCUCAGAUUUUUUCUUACACUUGCACCCAUUUUUUCUUUCAUUUGGGCUGAUUGUGUUCAGGUAAAUAACAGGUGAAUGCUAUUUCUUAUUUAUAAAAAAAACCUCUUCUGUUAGUCAGUUGUACACAUAUAUGAAUUGUCAAUUAUCACUUUCCUCCAUAAUGACGCCUUUAGACGCCUGUGUAGUGCCUCAGUUGAAAAAUCUUGCCUACGAUAAAUCUGUAUGCCUAAGUGUUUUUUAAAAUCGUGCUGUGAUCGUUUAUUUUGUAGAAUUUAAUCACCUUUCCAGUUUAGGGGUUUCCCUAAACGAUUAAUACAACUUUUAAAUUCAGUUGUUUAAUUGAUGCAUUCGUGGUAUUGUUAUUCUAUAGAAGAAAAGUAUCUAACCGACGCAAGGCGGCUCCAUCUUGGGCUGUGGGUAACUUAAGUUACCCACAGCCGUUUAAGCACAGUGAAAAUAAAUUAAAUAUGUCACAGAUAUGAAAUUUAUAUGACAAUCAUUUGAAUGAUUUAUACUUUGAAGUCUUGUCAUUAAAUAUAUUUAAAAUGUUGUUAUAAUGUCAUGUAUAUCACAAAAAGGUGUAAAGGCGAAAUCACAAAAUUAUGAAAAACGCAAAAACAGGAAAUCGCGAAGACACAAAAUCACAAGAAAACACUACAACGAAAGGAAAAAUAUAUCUUGUUUUUGCCAUUUGGACAUUGCGAAUUUGUGUUUUUUUAGUUUUCGUCCUAUAGAAUAUGAUGGCUGAAAAUAUGAAAACGUGAAAUGGCCUUAACCGGCCACCAUACAAAUAAGCAGUUUUCAACAUUUUUUUUCGCCAUUCUUUGAGAUACUGAUUUGAUAAUUGGUUUAUAGAUUAUCACGAAAAGUUACAGACAAAUUUAAAUUUUGUUUUGAUCUGAUGAUUUUGUGCAGAGUUAUGGUCCUUUUACUAAGAAAAUUCACUGAAAAUUCAGUUUUCCACACUUUUUUGUCAUGCUUGAAGAUAUUGAUCUGAUAAUUGAUAUAUAGUUUUAUCAGGAAAGAUAUUGAUAAUUGGUAUAUAGUUUUAUCAGGAAAAGAAACAGACCAAUUUCAAAAUUUUGUUUAACUCUGACGAUUUUAUGCAGAGUUAUGGUCUCUGGAUUAGAAUGAUAUUGACUUGAUCAAGCUAGCAUUUUGUUCCAGUACAAUGACUUUUUAACUGGUAGAGGACUAUGUAUUGCCAUGCAACACAACAUCUUAGAAUGUUUUUUUUUUCAAAUUGACAACAUCAAUCUUUGAAUUAUCAACCUUAAUCUCUGAAUUUCCAACUUUAAAAUUAAAAUUAUCAACUUUAAUCUUGGAAUUAUUAACUUUAAUAAUGGAAUUAUCAACUAUAAUCUUUGAAUAAUCAAAAUUAAACUGGAAAUUCUGAAGAGUAAUUCCAUAAGGUUGGGUAUAAAUAUACAAGGAAAAAUUCAAAAUUCAAAUGUUAAGCUUAGAUAUAAGUUUUAUAUAGGCUUGUAUGCAGUUUUUAUGAAAUUAAAAGAUCCUCCAAAAUACAACUUUUCCUACAAUAGACCACUUUCGAGUUAGUCCACCACCGUAAAAAACUCGUCAAUUAUGCGUGCCUUUAUGACUUCAUUUACCAGAUAGAAGGGGUCACCUGUAUCCCUGCACCAUUUACGUUCAUAAAGUGUCUUAGUGAACGUCAUUGUGCAGGAUAAACUAGAAAUAAUGUUUGUCUGGUAGGUACUUAAUCACAAUUACCUAAUGGCUGAUUGUCAAUUAUGAGAAUUCAGUUUGACGAAUAAUUCGUGCAAUAUAGAAUCAUAGUUUUCCAGCCAAUUGCUCAACAUGGGAGCAUAAGUGGCGACGCCCCUAAACGCUCAAAUGAUGUUCACUAAAACCAGAGUUUUUGACGGAAAUGCAUCAAACUCAAACGUUGUCUAUUGGCUAAUAAUUGGUAUUCAGAAAAAUAAUUGAAUCCACAACUACUGUCCAUUUGAGAAAUGCAUAUAUGGUUCAAUGUCCUAGAAACGAAUCUUUUUGAAAGUAAAACAAGAAAUUGUUUGAAAACUUGUAUGGCAUUUAAAUACAUGACCUGUAGAUGGCACUUUGAAAAUGGGGUACAACCUGUACAAUUUAUACAUUUCAGUUAUUUGUUGAUCAGCUUCAUAAUUAUUUAGAAAGAUAUAUGAUGAAGUGUGUCAAAUUGUUUUCUUGAUUCUAAUGUAUGAAUUGUAGACCCUUGUAACAUGUGUAACAUGUUGAUGAAUAUGCGGACAACUCUUAAUGUAAACUUUAUUUGAAAAGGAUAAUAUUUGAAGAAGAAAAAAAAAAAUAAUAUGUGAUAUGUUAUAUUUUUUAUUUUAGAAAAAGAAAGUAAAGUUGAAAGAACUUCAUUUUAUCAAAGCCAGAACAGGAGUUACAUCAAACAAGAAAGCAUCAGGUUUAUAAAAAUAUGAUUCUUAAACAAUACAGUUCAGUUGUAAAAAAAAAACCAAUAAAAGGAUUCUGUGCACACAAGACACAUUUCACUCCAUCCAAAUGUUUGGAAAGCCAAAAAAAAAAAAAAGAAUUGAAAGAACAUGAAGAAAGAAAGAAAGUUUAAUGGCUACUAUAAAAAAAUGACAAUACAGGGACAAUAUAAAAUCCCAAGUUGAAGACACCAACAACAGCAUGGCAAAAAAUGAAAAGGCAAAAAAUAAAAAAACACUCUAAAGAAAACUACUGACUUCAGCAACACAGAUGAUUAUAUCUUACAGUAUAAAUAAGUAUUACUAAUCAAGGACAAUAGACAGGAAAAAGUGGCAAUUAGGCAUGUUGUUGCAGUAAUGUAGCAUUUUAAUUUUAAUAUUUGCGUUUAAGUAUGAAAAUAAAAUAAAGGCAAGACAUUUAUCUGUGUCAACAAUUUGGUUUUCUCUCUGUAUCCACAGAGAAAUCUGAAAGAAGCAGCAAUUUACUAAUGUUUAAAUAAAUUUCCAAUAUUUUGACUUUGAACACUGAUUUAUAAAACAAAUGUAAAAAUAAUGACCACAUCCUAAUAUUUAACGACAGAACUGUCAGAUUAGCAGGUCUCACAAUAAAAGACAACGCAAAAGACUUUCUAAAAUGUCACAAGUAGAUAUUUGUCAAUAAUUAGAACACAUGGGGUUAAGAUUUCAUCUUUUAUCUGAUUUUUAUGAGAUUUCCAUACAUAGUUAUAAGUUGCUGGUAGGCUGUUGAACUGGUGCCAAAGAGCCUGCUUAUGACCAGCAAGAAUACAGUCAAGGAAUAUGUGCGCAUUAUAGUAAUAUGGUUGUCCAGUUCUGCGAAGAAUUUUGAAAUGGG